UAAGUUNUCUUAUGAGUUACGGCGGACGGGUGAGUACACGUGGGUACCUGCCNAUAAGACUGGGAUAACUCCGGGAAACCGGGGCUAAUACCGGAUAACAUUUUGCGCCUCAUGGNGCGAAAUUGAAAGGCGGCUUCGGCUGUCACUUAUGGAUGGACCCGCGUCGCAUUAGCUAGUUGGUGAGGUAACGGCUCACCAAGGCAACGAUGCGUAGCCGACCUGAGAGGGUGAUCGGCCACACUGGGACUGAGACACGGCCCAGACUCCUACGGGAGGCAGCAGUAGGGAAUCUUCCGCAAUGGACGAAAGUCUGACGGAGCAACGCCGCGUGAGUGAUGAAGGCUUUCGGGUCGUAAAACUCUGUUGUUAGGGAAGAACAAGUGCUAGUUGAAUAAGCUGGCACCUUGACGGUACCUAACCAGAAAGCCACGGCU
rnacentral:rRNA from 1 species